CUAGCCUCGAUCCCAGGCCGAGUUUUCGCUUUUAUAACGGUUAGGCGAACAACUGGGCCUGGUACUAGUUGUCUGCGCAUGCGUCAGUCGUUUGUCAGAUUCUGACGAAUGGAUAUUCUCGUUCACUUUUGUGACAUUUAUAUUCGUGUACUAUCGUGUACUAGAAGUCAGUUCCCGUUUUAUCAUUAUUGGAAUCGAUUGGAAUGGCUCUUAGCUGAAGCUUCUCUCUUCUCUGAAGCUUAUUCUGAAGACUGAACAACAAGGGAAGAGGUAUAAAGCUUUGUCAAGCUUGUUAAGGAGCAAUGGCUAAUAUCCAGCUAUCCCAACAGUGCUCCUCUUGGCUAUACUAACGGACGAGACUGGACAGUUUGAGACACAGGACUGGAGUAUGACCUGCUCAUUCGAGCGUUGCUGGGUAGCUCAGAGACAUCAAGAGAAUCUACGUUUUCUCAAGCAAUGAGUUACGAGUUGGGGCCUAGAAUCAGAGAAGUCCAGCAGCCUGCUAAAUCUUUUUGAAACGUAAUUUGAAGGCAUUCAAUCAUCUUGAAGUUGCCCUGGGUCACUGUAAUUGUGCUGCAGCACAACUGGCAACUCCCCAGGCCUUUGUGAAGCAGCUCCCUAUGUGCAUCUUUUGUGUACUCACUCUGCAUUUUCUGUGUACAAAUUUCUAUUAUUGAUUUAUUAAAUA